GAACGAACGCUGGCGGCAGGCCUAACACAUGCAAGUCGAGCGAGACCUUCGGGUCUAGCGGCGGACGGGUGAGUAACGCGUGGGAACGUGCCCUUUUCUGCGGAAUAGCCUCGGGAAACUGAGCGUAAUACCGCAUACGCCCUUUGGGGGAAAGAUUUAUCGGAAAAGGAUCGGCCCGCGUUGGAUUAGGUAGUUGGUGGGGUAAUGGCCUACCAAGCCUACGAUCCAUAGCUGGUUUGAGAGGAUGAUCAGCCACACUGGGACUGAGACACGGCCCAGACUCCUACGGGAGGCAGCAGUGGGGAAUCUUAGACAAUGGGGGCAACCCUGAUCGAGCCAUGCCGCGUGAGUGAUGAAGGCCUUAGGGUUGUAAAGCUCUUUCAGCUGGGAAGAUAAUGACGGUACCAGCAGAAGAAGCCCCGGCUAACUCCGUG
rnacentral:rRNA from 1 species